CAGCAGCCACGGGAAUACGAACCGUGCGAACGUUAUUCGGAAUUACUGGGCUUAAAGCGCGUGUAGGCGGGCCGCCACGUCGGUUGCUGAAAUCCCCCGGCUCAACCGGGGAAGUGGCAUCGAUACGAGCGGCCUUGAGGGGGGUAGGGGGAUCUGGAACUUCCGGUGGAGCGGUGAAAUGCGUUGAGAUCGGAAGGAACGCCCGUGGCGAAAGCGAGGUCCUGGACCCUUUCUGACGCUGAGACGCGAAAGCCAGGGGAGCGAACGGGAUUAGAUACCCGAGUAGUCCCUGUCUCUUAUA
rnacentral:rRNA from 1 species